rnacentral:rRNA from 1 species
UACAGAGGGUGCAAGCGUUAAUCGGAAUUACUGGGCGUAAAGCGCGCGUAGGUGGUUUGUUAAGUUGAAUGUGAAAUCCCCGGGCUCAACCUGGGAACUGCAUGCAAACUGGCAAGCUAGAGUAUGGUAGAGGGUGGUGGAAUUUCCGUGUGUAGCGGUGAAAUGCGUAGAUAUAGGAAGGAACACCAGUGGCGAAGGCGACCACCUGGACUGAUACUGACACUGAGGUGCGAAAGCGUGGGGAGCAAACAG